GACGAACGCUGGCGGCGUGCUUAACACAUGCAAGUCGAGCGGUAAGGCCCUUUCGGGGGUACGACGAGCGGCGAACGGGUGAGUAACACGUGGGUGACCUGCCUUUAGCUCUGGGAUAAGCCUGGGAAACUGGGUCUAAUACCGGAUAUGACUCCGCGGUGCAUGCUGUGGGGUGGAAAGCCUUGUGCGGCUGGAGAUGGGCCCGCGGCCUAUCAGCUUGUUGGUGGGGUGANGGCCUACCAAGGCGACGACGGGUAGCCGGCCUGAGAGGGCGACCGGCCACACUGGGACUGAGACACGGCCCAGACUCCUACGGGAGGCAGCAGUGGGGAAUCUUGCGCAAUGGGCGAAAGCCUGACGCAGCGACGCCGCGUGAGGGAUGACGGCCUCGG
rnacentral:rRNA from 1 species